rnacentral:rRNA from 1 species
GGGUUCGAUUCCGGAGAGGGAGCCUGAGAAACGGCUACCACNNNCAAGGAAGGCAGCAGGCGCGCAAAUUACCCAAUCCCGACACGGGGAGGUAGUGACAAUAAAUAACAAUACGGGGCUCUUUCGGGUCUCGUAAUUGGAAUGAGUACAAUUUAAAUCCCUUAACGAGGAACAAUUGGAGGGCAAGUCUGGUGCCAGCAGCCGCGGUAAUUCCAGCUCCAAUAGCGUAUAUUAAAGUUGUUGCAGUUAAAAAGCUCGUAGUUGAAUUUCGGGAUUGACACAUCGGUCGUGCCUUAAGGGGUAUGAACUGGUGUAGUCAAUUUCUCACCUUCUGGAGAACCGCGAUGCCCUUAAUUGGGUGUCGCGGGGAACCAGGACCUUUACUUUGAAAAAAUUAGAGUGUUUAAAGCAGGCAUUUUGCUUGAAUACAUUAGCAUGGAAUAAUAAAAUAGGACGGCAUGAUUCUAUUUUGUUGGUUUCUAGGAUCACCGUAAUGAUUAAUAGGGAUAGUUGGGGGCAUUAGUAUUCAAUUGUCAGAGGUGAAAUUCUUGGAUUUAUUGAAGACUAACUACUGCGAAAGCAUUUGCCAAGGAUGUUUUCAUUAAUCAAGAACGAAAGUUAGGGGAUCGAAGACGAUCAGAUACCGUCGUAGUCUUAACCAUAAACUAUGCCGACUAGGAAUCAGACGAUGUUAAUUUUUUAAUGACUCGUUUGG